UCAUAUGCUUGUCUCAAAGACUAAGCCAUGCAAGUCUAAGUACAUGCCGUAUUAAGGUGAAACCGCGAAUGGCUCAUUAAAUCAGUUAUGGUUCCUUAGAUCGUACUUUUCUACUUGGAUAACUGUGGCAAUUCUAGAGCUAAUACAUGCAGCAGAGCUCCGACCUUCGGGGACGAGCGCUUUUAUUAGACCAAGACCAAUCGGACCUCGGUCCGUAUGCCACGGCGACUCUGGAUAACUUUGGGCUGAUCGCACGAUCUCGCAUCGGCGAUAUUUCUUUCAAGUGUCUGACUUAUCAACUUUCGAUGGUAGUCUAUGCGCCUACCAUGGUCGUAACGGGUAACGGGGAAUCAGGGUUCGAUUCCGGAGAGGGAGCCUGAGAAACGGCUACCACAUCCAAGGAAGGCAGCAGGCGCGCAAAUUACCCACUCCCGGCACGGGGAGGUAGUGACGAAAAAUAACAAUACGGGACUCUCUUGAGGCCCCGUAAUUGGAAUGAGUACACUCUAA
rnacentral:rRNA from 1 species